ACACUCUUGUUUCUCUUCAAGUCGCAUAAAUCUUUCGCCUUUUACUAAAUAUUUCCGUGGGGAGGAACAACAAGAGUAUAACUAAAUUUUUGAAUGCCCUGUGAAAACAAUAACAAU